CUCAGUUCGGAUUGUAGUCUGCAACUCGACUACAUGAAGCUGGAAUCGCUAGUAAUCGCGAAUCAGAAUGUCGCGGUGAAUACGUUCCCGGGUCUUGUACACACCGCCCGUCACACCAUGGGAGUCGGGAAUGCCCGAAGUCAGUGACCCAACCGGAAGGAGGGAGCUGCCGAAGGCAGGCUCGAUAACUGGGGUGAAGUCGUAACAAGGUACC
rnacentral:rRNA from 1 species